GAGGCUGUCGAGGUCCUAAGGAGUGUGUCCCAUAAGCUCAUGCACCACACUGCAGGGACCCCCCAGGAGGCCCGUGACCCAGUGCCUCGGGCCCACUAGAUACACAGAGAGGACCAAAUAAAUGUUGGAAGAUGCAGCGUGAUGGUCAAAGGCGCGUCCACCCCCUUGCUGUGUGUUCUUGCCUGUGGUUACUUGUCCCCUCCCCCAUCUCCAUCUCUCCAGGGUUCUGAACAGCCUUGUUCAUCCUGGCACUGCAGGUGUCGCUCAGUGCCCUAGUCCUACCGUAUAUUGAACUGGGACUGUGGUCCAGGACAUUCGUUCCCCUCCACACCCUGGAGGUGGUCAUGGGACCCCAUUAUCCAGAUGAGGACGGGUGCAGUGAGGAGCCAUGAAGUGCCAGGGUAGAGAUCUGGACCCUGUUCCCAUGGCUCGGCCCUACUUCUUUCACCAUUUGUGGGGCCUCCCGGGGAUUGGGGGACAGAUGGCCUGAGCCUCUGGCUGGGGGCAGGUGGAGCUGGUUCCCAGUUGUGACUCCAGAGGGCUAGUGGCUCAGGCCCUCCCCGCCUCCCCUGCCCCCCAAGGCUGUGUGAGGAGCAGGCUGGAGAUGGGCUAGCAAUCCGGCUAUGCUGCUGUGGCCCCGGGGUGUAGGUGCCCGGGGAAGGCGCUGCCCUGCUUGCUACCUCACUGACAGCAGCGGCUCUUGGCUGGCUUCAGUGUGCCCACUGCUUCCGCAAGCCUGUGUGUUCUUGGAAGUAAUGGAAACGCAUUUCUUAAAAAGGCUCGAUAAUUCAGCCUUGUCCUAAGAGCAGGCCUUCGUCUCUGCCCAGCUCUCUGGCCUCCCAGGAACGCCUCACACGCAUUAUCUCCUCUCAGCUGCCCGGGCCCGUGCAAGGUAACCUGACCCGCACGGAGAGCCAGAGAACCCGCUGAACCCUGUCUAUCGGGGGCCAGCUCGGGGCCACCCAGCCGGUCUGUUUAUUGUGGGGAUGGUGGCCGCGGUAGUGGCGGUAGUGUUUUCACCACUCACAGAGCUCUAGCUGGGAUCCGGGGCCUUGCUUUACACCCUGGACAGCUGAAGCUCAGGCUCAGGAAGCAGCAGGGCUGCCUGAGCCCAAGCCCUUGGCUCCCUCAUGGCGCACGGUGUCUGAGCCAAGCGCAGGCCCUGCCCCACAGUGUCUCCCAUCCGGGCGAGCAAACACCCACUGCAUCCUGCCUGCCAAGGAGAGAGGUGCCCUCAGCCUGGAGGCUCAGUAAAGUCCCUCUUCCAGGGAAUAACACCUGUUUCCCCCUUGAGUUGUCCUCAAGAUGAAACAGGAGGAAUAAGGUACCUCACAUGUGACAAAUAAAUUAUUAUUAUUAUUUUUUUUUUUUCUUUUUUUAGGGCCACACCCCAUAUGGAGAUUCCCAGGCUAGGCGUGGAAUCGAAGCUGUAGCUGCCGGCCUACACCAGAGCCACAGCAACUCGGGAUCCGAGCCGCGUCUGCCACUUACACCACAGCUCACAGCAACGCCGGAUCCUUAACCCACUGAGCGAGGCCAGGGAUCGAACCCGCAACCUCAUGGUUCCUAGUCGGAUUCGUUAACCACUGUGCCAAGACGGGAACGCCUAUUGUGAUUUCUUAAUAAGAAAAUACACCCAAAUUUAGUUCUCAGAUGCAGCCAGGUGGCUUUUCAGUGAACACCCCGUGUUCAGCUGACAUUUGCAGAGUGCUGGCCUUCAGCUCGUCUGGGCCUUGGUUGUGGGGCUCAGCUGCUCCCUGGCUCUGCCCAGGGACCUGGGCUCCCGGCUCAGCGGCUGUCUCUUUCUUGCUCGCAGCCCCCAGGGCCCUGGGUGAGGCUGAGCUCAUGAAAAGUGUCGGCAGAGCACUUUGUGGAUCGAUGCUAACUAAUAGCAGCUCCCUGGAGCUGGCUCCUGUAGGGAAGACCAUCGUGGAGGCGACUUGGCCCGGGCUCAGGGACGGCACCGGGGAAGGCCAGUGCUGUCCUCAAGGCAGGACCCAGGAAGGCUUCUCCCUGAAGCCUCCUGCCGCUUUAGCCAGCAGCUAAAGUGCUGAGGAAGUUUGGAAGUGGGCAGGGGGUGUUCCCGGCCACGGGGGGAGGAGGUUUGCCCCUUUAGUGGCAGAAUCAAGAGCCCCCACAUCUGGCCAGCCCACUCAUCUGGUCACUUGCAGGCCAGAGCUGGGUGCCCAGCCUGUCCUAGGUAUCUUCUUGUCAGGGAUCUCCUACCACUAUCUCGCGAGAAGUCAGCAUUGCUGGUUGAAAUAGACAGCUGCUGGCCUCUGCCCAGACGCAUGGCUGUCUUAAGGCAGCUUCCGUUCAGUUGCGAGCAUGGAUGGGAAGUUGGCAUGGGACCCCGUGUGAGGAAGGAUGUGGGCAAGCCCCCCCAUCCCAGUUCUGUCCCGCUCUGCGUCUUAGACUGAGCUCAAGUCUUUUUUGGGAACUGCUGAGGAGGCAGCAGACAGGGACUGUGCCCUCUGGGAGUUCCUAGUCUGAUGGAGAGGCCAGGUCCUGUCCUCCGGGAGAGAGACUGUGUUCUUUUUUUUUUUUUUUUUUUUUUUUUUGUCUUUUUAGGGCCGCACCCGCAGCAUGUGGAGAUUCCCAGGCUAGGGGUCGCAUCGGAGUUGUAGCUGCCGGCCUACACCACAGCCACAGCCACACCAGAUCUGAGCUGACUGCAACCUACACCACAGCUCACAGCAAUGCUGGAUCCUUAACCCACUGAGCGAGGCCAGGGAUUGAACCUGUGUCCUCAUGGAUACUAGUUGGCUUCAUUAACCACUGAGCCAUGAUGGGAACUCUGAGAGACUUCGCUCUGAUGGGGGAAAUGAGGUUCCUGCUGUCUGGGACUCCCUCUCUGAUGGAGGGGGCCUAGCCCUCUGGUCCUCUAGCAGCUCCUGUCUGAGGAAGGAGGCAUGGACUUUGUCUGCUUGGAGGCUGAGGGAGGAGUCACGGCCACUUCCCUGGGGAGAAUUCUUAUCUGAUAGAGGAGAUCAGACCUCGGUCAGUCGUCAGGAAGGCUCCCUGUCGCCCUGUCUGAGGGAGGAGGCUCCUCGUGUUCUCUCCCUUCAGAGCCCCGUUUGAUGGCCUUUGCCUUGGCUCCCCCAUUCCUGGCCUGACUCAUGGAGAGCCCGCGUCUGCAGGCAAUCGGCACAGCGAGAGCCGAGCAGGGCGAAGCUGCUGUGGGGCAGGGAAGAAGGCAGAAGGGGGCGCUUUAGAGGGGCUCCUGUAGCAAAGGACGGUGACACGGGAGGUUUCCCAGUGGAGAUGCCUUUCUGGGACAGUCUGAUGGAAGGAGGUGCCUGCCGGUGUGAGUUCCCUCUGGGGAGAGAGGGCGCGCUCCUCCAGGCUGGAAAGGGGAAUUUAAGGGUCACUUGGGAGCACCUGUCUUUAUGCAGCCAGACCGCUGGGGUGGAAAGGGCCGCCAGAGACCCUGACCCUCUGCCUGUCCGUGUACUGCCAGCCCAGGGACAUCCGCCUUCCAAGGCCCGAGAAGCCCAGAGGAGGGGAGGAAACAGGACGCGUAUCAGGAACGCCUUUUCCUUUUCUUUGUAACCAGCCCCUCACUCGGGGCUGCGGAGAGCCGAUCCAGCGGGGCCUGCCCUGGCCUGGCUGCUGCCGCCUGCAGCCCCCCACGCUGGGUCUCCCACGGCCUCUCCCUCCUCCGUGCACGCAGCCCCCUGCUGCUGGGCUGGUCCCUUAAUUUCACGGAGACUCAGGGCUCUCAUCCAUAAGAUGGGGUAAGACUUCCUCUCUGCCUCCUGCGGAAGUUUGCUUUUUCCUCUCUUUAUUGGAUUUACAUAAUUUAGUCCUUUAUCCAUGGAUGUGCCAUUGAGCACUUCCUGUGUGCUGACCCUGGGACUGGGGGCAGGGGCAGAGAGUGUGGGCGAGGAGUGGUUAUGAGCAGACAGGAAGUCUGUUUGGGACUUGUCUGAGGAGUCAGGGGACAUCCGAGUAUAGCUGUCCCAGGGCUAGUGAGGAGGGGGUGCAGAGAGGAUCUGGCUGGAGAUGGAGCUUUGGCUUAUCAGCAUCUGAUAAGGGGCCAGGUGGGUGGAGUCACCAAGGCAACUGCUUGUCACUGGCCCUGGGCAGGGAUGGAGGCAAGGCCCUGGAGCCACGGCCAGCUGGACUUCACUCGGAGCCUUCGGAGAGCUGGGCACGGGGCAGGGCUGGGGGACCCCUCAGCCAGGGCUCCAGUGGCCGAGAGGAAAGGGCCUGGGAUGGGGUGGGGGUGGGGGUCCCUGGUCUGUGCUCCUGGAGGGGUUGAGACCUUCACCUUCGCAGGUGUCGUGGCAGGUGGGGGGGUGUAGGUUGGAUGCGCCUUGGGAUGAGGAGAGCCAACAGGCAGAGAGGUCAGACAGCAAAGAAAGUGGUCAGGCAGACUGACCUCCUCUUCUUCUCAUGAUUUAAGUCCGUCCUCUGCUGGCUGGAGGGCUGCUGUGGGAGCACGUGUGUGUUUAUGUGGGGUGUGUGUCUGGGGAGUCGUAGGUGAGAUGUGUGAGGGGUGUGUUGCAGGUGUGUAUGUGGGGUGUGCUUCGUAUGUGUGUGUGGAGUCUGGGUAUGGUGUGUAUAGGUGUGUGUGGUGUACCUGUAGUGUGGGUGUGAAGCGUACAUGGUGUGUGUGUGUAGAAAGAAAGGGGAUGGGUUUUGUAGUCUUUGCCAAUGUCUGUAGUGUAAAGUCUCCUUCCAGGGAUUUCACCCAAACAGGAUGUCGUUGACCGUGAAGUUGGGGAAGCAGUGCCUAGCAGGCCCCACCAUUGUAGUGCAAUUUAGUAGAAUAAUAGUAAGUGAUAAGUUUUGAGUAUGUGUUCCUUUUUGCUUGUUUGUUUUUGUUUGUGUUUUGGCUAUCAGCAUGCGGCCACUUGAUGUGGGAUCUCAGUUCCCGGAUCAGGGAUUGAACUUGGGCUGCAGCCGUGGAAGCACUGAGUCCUAACCCCGAGGCCACCAGGGAACUCCUUCCCUUUGUUGUUAACAUGAGUUAUUUAAUGGUGAUUUUAUUUUAAUUUAUUUAUUAAUUUUUGGCCUGCCCCUGGUAUGAGGAAGUUCUCCGGCUGGGGGUCACACCUGAGCCACAGCAGUAACAAGGCUGAGUCCUUAAUCCCUAAGCUGGCAGGGAACUCCUAUUUAAUUGCAAUUUUAGGUUAGGGUUUCUUACCAUCAACACUGUUGACAUUUGGGCAGGAGAGACUUUGUUGGGGUCGGGGGGCACGCUGGCCAGUGCACUGUGCUCGCAGCACCCCCCAGCCUCCACUCACUAGAUGCUAGAUGCACCCCUCCCCCAAGCUGUGACCACCCAAAACGUCUCCAGCCAUUGCCAGAUGUCUCCUGAGGGACAGAUUCACCUCAGGAGAGAGCCACUGGCAAUGGCUGUGUUUAAUAACGAGCUCACAGAAUCCCUAGCAAUGGGACAGUCGGCUCUGAGGCGCCUGUGUGAGCCGGCUUCAGAUACUGGGUACUGUCUGGCUAAAAAUAAGGCAUGGGUUUUUCUCCCCAGAAUUCUUUCUCAGGAAAGAGCCACCGCAGACUGACCAUAGCUUUCAGUCUGGACAGAGCCCCUGACCACAGAGGACUCUCAGCCCUGACUGGCCCCCAAGUGACGCAGAGUCACCGAUGCCCUGUCAUACUGAUCUGAUUGUGAGACCAGAGAGAAAAGUAAUACUUCGGAAUUCAUAUCUCAUUUUAAUGUAGUAUAUUAUUCUAUAUCCCUAAAAGUUUGUAUGUUCAAAUUGGCAGAAAAAAGGAAAAAAAAAAAAAAAAA
rnacentral:lncRNA from 1 species